GACGAACGCUGGCGGCGUGCUUAACACAUGCAAGUCGAGCGGAGCGGCGAACGGGUGAGUAACGCGUGAGUAACUGCCCCCCUCUCUGGCAUCACAGUUGGAAACGGCUUCUAAUCCCGGAUAGUGGGGGAUGAGUCGCGGCCUAUGCGCGUGUUGGUGGUGUAGUGGCCUACCAAGGCGACGUCGGGUAGCCGGCCUGAGAGGGCGACCGGCCACAGUGGGCUGAGAUACGGACCAAAGCCCGACGGGAGGCAGCAGUGGGGAAUAGUGCACAACGGAGGAAACCCUGAUGCAGGAACGCCGCGUGCGGGAUGACGGCCUUCGGGUUGUAAACCGCUUUAAGCCAUGACGCGGUAGUGGCAGAAGAAGCACCGGCUAACUACGUGCCAGCAGCCGCGGUAAUAC
rnacentral:rRNA from 1 species